UAAGCCAGAAGAGGCGCGCCGCCCAGGUAUUAUGUCUGAGUAACCAGUACGCAGAUGGCAUAAGAGGGGGAGCGGCGCCGAGGUAACACGUAUCUGGUCGUACGCGUUAUCGGCUGCAGGGGCUGAAUCCCCUGGGUUGUCACCAGAAACGUCCGGCAGUCGUUCGUUUCGCAAGGUGGGGCGCUUCUGGGUGU
rnacentral:ncRNA from 2 species